rnacentral:rRNA from 1 species
CGUACACUCCUACGGGAGGCAGCAGUAGGGAAUCUUCCACAAUGGGUGCAAACCUGAUGGAGCAAUGCCGCGUGAGUGAAGAAGGUCUUCGGAUCGUAAAGCUCUGUUGUUAGAGAAGAACACGUGCUAGGUAACUACUAGCGCCUUGACGGUAUCUAACCAGAAAGUCACGGCUAACUACGUGCCAGCAGCCGCGGUAAUACGUAGGUGACAAGCGUUGUCCGGAUUUAUUGGGCGUAAAGGGAGCGCAGGCGGUCUGUUUAGUCUAAUGUGAAAGCCCACGGCUUAACCGUGGAACGGCAUUGGAAACUGACAGACUUGAAUGUAGAAGAGGAAAAUGGAAUUCCAAGUGUAGCGGUGGAAUGCGUAGAUAUUUGGAGGAACACCAGUGGCGAAGGCGAUUUUCUGGUCUAACAUUGACGCUGAGGCUCGAAAGCGUGGGGAGCGAACAGGAUUAGAUACCCCUGUAGUCC